GAUCCUGGCUCAGGACGAACGCUGGCGGCGUGCUUAACACAUGCAAGUCGAACGAGAAUCUACUGAAGGAGUUUUUCGGACAACGGAUGUAGAGGAAAGUGGCGGACGGGUGAGUAACGCGUGAGGAACCUGCCUUGAAGAGGGGGACAACAGUUGGAAACGACUGCUAAUACCGCAUGACGCAUAGGGGUCGCAUGGUCUUUAUGCCAAAGAUUUAUCGCUUCAAGAUGGCCUCGCGU
rnacentral:rRNA from 1 species